UUUCUCACCCCCGCGCGCCAUUCCGAAAGACACCCAACCUGAAUCGCCCGGAAAAUUUGGUUGCCAGCCCGCGAACCUAGCAAAAGGGUUUUACGGCAACGAAUAUUAUAGAGGUGGCUUCCCCCUCGGGGUUCGCCCCACCUCUCACCAUUGUUAUCUACCUUAGUGCUUGGCGGCUUGGGGUCGCCUCACGCGGACUCGGAGGGGUGACGGCCCGCAGAGCCCAAUAAAUCCGUUAUGCAGUAUAUCAGAACAAAAUUACUAUAGUAAAAACUUUCAAACAAACGGAAUCUCUGGUUCCAGCAUCGAUGAAAGAACGCAGCGAAUGCGAUAAGUAAUGUGAAUUGCAGAAUUCAGUGAAUCAUCGAAUCUUGAACGCACAUUGCGCCCCUCGGUAUUCCGGGGGGCAUGCCUGUUCGAGCGUCAUACACCCCUCAAGCGUAGCUUGGUAUUGGGUCCUCCCCCCCGGGGCGUGCCCGAAAAGCAGUGGCGGCUCGGUGUGACUUUAAGCGUAGUAAAUUUUCAUCCCGUCUUUGAAAGUUCGCCCCGUGGCUUGCCAGACAACCCCGAUUUUAUUUUCAAUGAUUGACCU
rnacentral:rRNA from 1 species